CCUUUCCUUCGGGACAAGAGUGACAGGUGGUGCAUGGUUGUCGUCAGCUCGUGUCGUGAGAUGUUGGGUUAAGUCCCGCAACGAGCGCAACCCUUAUUUUUAGUAGCCAGCAUUUUAAGAUGGGCACUCUAGAGAGACUGCCAGGGAUAACCUGGAGGAAGGUGGGGAUGACGUCAAAUCAUCAUGCCCCUUAUGACCAGGGCUACACACGUG
rnacentral:rRNA from 1 species